rnacentral:rRNA from 1 species
UACGUAGGGUGCGAGCGUUGUCCGGAAUUAUUGGGCGUAAAGAGCUCGUAGGCGGUGUGUCACGUCGGCCGUGAAAACCUGCAGCUUAACUGUGGGCGUGCGGUCGAUACGGGCAUCACUGGAGUUCGGCAGGGGAGACUGGAAUUCCUGGUGUAGCGGUGAAAUGCGCAGAUAUCAGGAGGAACACCGGUGGCGAAGGCGGCUCUCUAGUACGGUACUGACGCUGAGGCGCGAAAGCGUGGGGAGCAAACAGG